CCAAUAGCGUAUAUUAAAGUUGUUGCAGUUAAAAAGCUCGUAGUUGAACUUCGGGAUCAAUGGAUCGGUCAUGCCGUUGGUAUGUACUGGUCAUAUUGGUUCUCACCUUCUAAGGAACCAUGAUGUCAUUAAUUUGAUGUUGUGGGGAAUUAGGACUGUUACCUUGAAAAAAUUAGAGUGUUUAAAGCAGGCUAACGCUUGAAUACAUUAGCAUGGAAUAAUGAAAUAGGACAUCGCAUUCUAUUUUGUUGGUUUCUAGGAUCGAUGUAAUGAUUAAUAGGGAUAGUUGGGGGCAUUAGUAUUCAAUUGUCAGAGGUGAAAUUCUUGGAUUUAUUGAAGACUAACUACUGCGAAAGCAUUUGCCAAGGAUGUUUUCAUUAAUCAAGAACGAAAGUUAGGGGAUCGAAGACGAUCAGAUACCGUCGUAGUCUUAACCAUAAACUAUGCCGACUAGGGAUCGGAUGAUGUUGAUUUUUAAAUGACUCAUUCGGCACCUUACG
rnacentral:rRNA from 1 species